UUCACGCUGGCAUUGCUAUCAAGCCGCGUCUGGCUGCCGUUCGCUGGUGCAGGUGCUCUAUUUCAUCGAGAGAGGACGCGAAAGGAAAGAAGGGGAGGGAAAGAAUGAAGGGAACCGUCGGAGAAAAGUAUGCAGGGCAUGAAUAAAAGGGUAUCAGCAGCUGACAGUGUGUCUAACGUCCAGGGGCUCGGAUAAGAAUGAUUUAUUGAAAGGGGCACUUUGAGAUAUGAUGAGGUUUCUCUCUGGUUGGCAAUAGUACUAUGAUUUGGUAUGUGGCCACUUUGAUAGCAAGUGUAUUCAGCACCAGAGGAACAGCUGCUCAAGGUGCCCACGGAGUCAGAGAGGAGCCCCAGUUUGUGACGGCCCGCGCAGGGGAGACCGUGAUUCUGGGAUGUGACAUGGCUCACCUACUCAACGGCCAGCCCUACGUGGUGGAGUGGUUCAAGUUUGGAGUGCCCAUCCCCUUCUUCAUCAACUUCCGCUUCUACCCUCCUCACGUGGACCCCGAGUACGCCGGCCGAGCCAGCCUGCAUGGCAAGUCAUCUCUACGUAUUGAGAGGGUUCGCUCGGAAGACCAGGGCUGGUACGAGUGCAAGGUCCUGAUGCUGGAACAACAGUACCACACCUUUCACAAUGGCAGCUGGGUGCACCUCACAGUCAACGCUCCCCCAACUUUCACGGACACACCGCCGCAGUAUGUGGAGGCCAAAGAGGGGGGCAGCAUCACUCUGAGCUGCACGGCCUUCGGGAAUCCCAAACCUUCAGUCAGCUGGCUCAGGGAGGGAGACUCCGUACAGGACAGCAGCAAGUAUAAGGUGAGUGAUGGCAGCCUGACGAUUGUUUCUAUCAGCCGUGAGGACAGGGGAGCGUAUACAUGCCGAGCAUACAGCGAGCAGGGAGAGGUCGUCCAUACUACACGCCUACUCGUCCAAGGACCCCCAUUUAUUGUUUCACCGCCAGAGAACAUAACCGUAAACAUAUCCCAGGAUGCAUUCUUCACUUGUCAGGCUGAGGCGUAUCCUGGCAACCUAACGUACACCUGGUUCUGGGAGGAAGAUAACGUCUUCUUCAAGAAUGAUCUAAAGCGCAGAGUGAGUAUUCUGAUCGACGGUUCGCUCAUCAUCUCCCAGGUGAAACCUGAGGAUGCUGGGAAAUACACCUGCAGCCCGAGUAACAGCCUUGGGCGCCCACCUUCUGCAUCAGCGUACUUGAUAGUGCAUUACCCUGCCCGUGUUGUAAACAUGCCGCCUGUUAUUUACGUGGCUAUCGGACUGCCGGGGUACAUCCGCUGCCCGGUGGAUGCCAACCCGCCUGUCACUUCAGUGAAGUGGAAAAAGGACAGCCUGCCUCUGCGGAUAGAGAAGUACCCUGGCUGGAGCCAAAUGGAAGAUGGGAGCAUUCGAGUGUCUGAGGUGACAGAGGACUCUCUCGGCACCUACACCUGCGUGCCUUACAAUAGCCUCGGUACAAUGGGACAGUCCCCUCCCGCUCCUCUGGUGCUAAAGGACCCACCCAAAUUUCUGGUGGUUCCUGGAGGGGAGUACAGGCAGGAGGCUGGUCGAGAGCUGGUCAUCCCCUGUGAGGCAGAAGGAGACCCAUUCCCCAACAUUACAUGGAGAAAGGUAGGGAAGCCCAGCAGAAGCAAGCACAACGUCCUACCACGAGGCAGCUUACAGUUCAAAUCUCUCAGCAAGGAGGACCAUGGGGAGUGGGAGUGUGUCGCCUCCAAUGUCGCCACGAGCAUCACUGCCAGCACGCACCUCCUAGUAAUCGGCACAAGCCCACACGCUGCCGCCAAAGUCCACGUUUCGGUCUCGACGACCUCGGCCAACGUCUCGUGGGAACCCAGUUACGAUGGCGGCUUUGAGCAGACAUUCUCAGUCUGGUACGGCCAUGUGGUGAAGAGGGAGCAGUUAGGACCGCAUGACUGGCUGUCCAUGCCUGUGCCCAGCGGGCAGCACUGGCUCCUGGUGCAAGGCCUGGUGUCCGAGACGGCCUACCAAUUCAGUGUCCUGGCCCAGAACAAACUGGGGACGGGCCCGUUCAGCGAGGUCGUCACUGUGAACACACUAGUAUUUCCUAUAAGUACCCCAGAACCACUGGUGCUGCUUACCCCACCACGGUGCCUCACAGCCAACCGGACACAGCAGGGAGUCCUACUCACAUGGAUCCCUCCAGCCAAUCACACGUCACCAAUUGAUCACUACAUCAUGGAGUUCCGCCUCGGGGAGAGGUGGGAUGUUCUUGAUGAUGCAAUCCCUGCUGCAGAGACCGAGCUAUUAGCUAGAGACCUGGUUCAGGAGGCCUGGUAUGAGUUCAGAGUGAUGGCGGUUAUGGAGGACGUAGUCAGUGAGCCCAGUAAUGUAGUGGGAGUCUCUAGCACAGACUACUUUCCGCUGCCUGAGGUGCCAGACGAGGGGCUGGCGCGGCCGGUGGUGGCAGGCAUUGUGGCCACCAUCUGUUUCCUGGCAGCAGCCAUCCUCUUCAGCACGCUAGCAGCCUGCUUCGUCAACAAACAGAGACGGCGUAAGCUCAAGCAGAGACGAGAUCCCCCUCUGUCUAUAACACACUGCAGAAAGAGCAUGGAGACUCCAUCAUCUUCUGGAAAGGUUAGUCCAGAAAGUGUCCGCUCCAUUGGACCUCCUUCAGAGUCCUCAGAGGAUGGUUUACGAGCUAAGAAGUUUCCUCAAAGUCCUGCCAAGGAGAAGGAGCUGUCUUUAUACAAGAAGACCAAGAGAGCAAUAAUUAGCAAGAAAUAUAGCGUCUCUAAGCACGAGGCAGAGGCUACCACGCCAAUCGAAUUGAUCAGUCGUGGCCCAGAUGGGCGCUUUAUCAUGGAACCUACAGCGGAAACUCCAGUUAAGGCACGGCGCAUUGAGGGAUUCCCCUUCGUUGAGGAGUCUGACCUGUACCCUGAAUUUCGACAGUCAGAUGAGGAGAAUGAUGAUCCGGGGCCCAUGCCGCCUAUGAUGGCUACCCUCAGACCCCAUCAGAUCUCCCCCAUUUCUUCUAGCCAGGAGUCUUACUUGCAGCCCCCAGCCUACAGUCCCCGCUUCCAGAGGCCAAUGGAAGGCAUGACUAUCAUGGAGAGCAGUCGACUCCAGGCUACAGGGCAGAUUCGUGGUGCUCCUCACUUCCGAGCCUUUUCCCAUGGCCAGUUCUACAGCUACUUAGGAAGUCCAGGGGAACCUGAGCCUCCACCUCCUUUCUACAUGCCAGACACCAGCCCUCUCAGCUCAGUAAUGUCUUCUCCUCCUUACCACCUGGAGGGACCUUUCGGUCAUCCCACCAUCCCAGAGGAAAUCGGUGAGGGAGAGAUUCAGCAUUAUGCAGUCUCUGGCUACACCCUUCCCUUGGCGCACCCCUCCACCUCGCGCUCCCCAGACAUCUGGCAGCGACCUGAUUUUACCUUUGCCACAAUCGAGGGUCCUCCCUUUAUUUUUCCACCCCCACACCCUUUGCAUCUUCAUCCGGAACCUCCCCUUCCUCCCCCUCUUGUUCUUCCUCCUAGUGCCCUCCAGCCCUCCACCCUUCAAGUAUCUCCUUACCCUGGUAUCCUGCAGCUGGAGGCCCCAAAGAGCCUCCCAGGCAAGUCUCCCAGCAAGGUCAAGCCUCAGGGCCUUCCAGCCAAGCGUUUACCUAUGCAAGAGGCACAGAGUCUAGGGCAGCUAAGACACACAAGCCACGGUAUGGGUGUACCGGUAUUGCCUUACCCUGACCCGGUGUCUCACAUGGUUGGCCCAAGCUCGUUCGGAAGCCUGGAUACCCGAUGGUACGAGCUUACACCCAGGCUUAGCCCAAGGCAGCCCCGUAGGAUGGAACCCAGCAUGGUAGUUCUCCAGCCAUCCCGCCUCUCACCUCUAACUCAGAGCCCUAUUAGCUCUCAUGAAGGCUCACCGGAGAUUGUAGUACGCCCCAGGCCCCGUCCCAGUGUCAUCCAACCCCCGAUCCCUCCAGAGAUGUCUGAGAUCACCCUUCAGCCUCCUUCUUCAGCUAGCUUCUCUAGAAGGUCCACCCCAUCCUCCUCUCCUGCUCAAGGCCAAGGCAGCCGAAGGGCAAGUCCCAGCUACCGAUCCCACAUGGCAUUUGCCACCUCAGCAGCAAGCUAUCCGUCACAGUCCCCUUCACCUCCUGUAGAAAGCAGCAACAUUUUUGGGCAGAUGCCAACCCAGAGGAGGACUGAGGAGGAGAUCCUUCCAUCAGAACCCUCUCCACCCCAGUUAUCAGCUUCAGGAAAACGUCGAGGUGCACCAAGUGGCUCUGCAGGGUCUGAGAGGAUAGAAGCACUGAGAUAUCAACGAGUGAAAAAAGCCAAGAAAGUCGGCAUCAACAGUAACAACUCCAAGACCAGACGAAAGAUGGGUGUGCCCCCCUCUCAGACCCAGCAGCCCCACACCUCUCAGGUCCUCCAGCCAGAAGAAGCUCUCUACCUCCGCAAGAAGAAGAAAAAGUUGACUCGCCAGGACCCGUACGCCCGCUUUUCCGCUCUGCUGUACCGCCGCCCGCCCCGAGAAGACCAGAAAGCCAUUUUGGCUAGUAUGGACACAGCAGACCCAGACCACGCCACUCUCCUCUGAAGUCCCAGAGAUUACAGGCCACACUCUUCCCAAACUCUGAGCUCCUUCCACCUUUGCUCAGCCAGCCAACGUCUUCACGUCCACCCCUGAAUCCAAUGAAACAGCAACCCAGCGCCUGUCUCUUUCCUCUGUGAAGACCCUUGGGGGAAAAUCUCUUUGGGAUGAGAGGGCUAUUCCCAGCGGCCAAAGGUUUAUAUUGUGUUUCUAUCAUCCAAUGGUGCUUCUUUUCUACAGAAAGACAUGUAUUUUCACUGUCUGAACAGACAUACCUGGGCAAAUGUACAUUUUAGCGUGCUAGCCAUUGUCCAAGAGGGCAUGUAAUGGCCGUUAGACGAGAUGUGGCAUGUUCUGUGUCUUAUCACUUGUACAGAUGUGCAGUCAGCUUGUACAUUUGAAAAAUGUCUAAAGCUGCAUCAAAUGGCUGAACAUUGUACUGUUUCUUCAGCCUGGGAAAAUAAUUCAAAUCAAAAAGCAAGUGAAGGUGAACCCUUGACCUCCAACUGACAGGUUAAAGGGGUUAUAGGUGUGUGGUUCAUGGCUAAGCCCCAUCCAAUGGCCAAUCACCACAUAUAGGCAUUUUAACAGCCUACAUAAGGUGCUAUAAAAAGUCUUCAGACUGAACUCUGUUAAUAAUAUAUCAUUAAUUUGAUCUUCCAGCAGAUAAUGGCUGCUGCUUAUAGGUGCCGUAACAUUAGCGAAAUUUCAUCAAAAUUUUGUGAGCAAAAAGUUUUGUUGUCUAUUAUCAAUAGUGUAGCGAUGCAUGAAGCACCACUCACACCGAAGUCACUUUCAAACCAAGCAGCUUUCUGUUAAAGGGGUGGUUGACUGGUUUUUUUCUAGGCUU